rnacentral:rRNA from 1 species
CACGUAGGGUGCAAGCGUUGUCCGGAAUUAUUGGGCGUAAAGGGCUCGUAGGCGGUCCGUCACGUCGGGAGUGAAAACUCGGGGCUCAACCCCGAGCCUGCUUCCGAUACGGGCAGACUAGAGUGCGGUAGGGGAGACUGGAAUUCCUGGUGUAGCGGUGAAAUGCGCAGAUAUCAGGAGGAACACCUGUGGCGAAAGCGGCUCACUGGACCACAACUGACGCUGAUGCACGAAAGCUAGGGGAGCAAACAGG